GGAGAGGUGACUGAGCGGUUUAAAGUACUCGCCUCGAAAGCGAGCGUGCGGGAAACCGUACCGUGGGUUCGAAUCCCACCCUCUCCGCCA
rnacentral:tRNA from 1 species